CAGUAGCCGCGGUAAUACAGAGGGUGCGAGCGUUAAUCGGAUUUACUGGGCGUAAAGCGUGCGUAGGCGGCUUCUUAAGUCGGAUGUGAAAUCCCUGAGCUUAACUUAGGAAUUGCAUUCGAUACUGGGAAGCUAGAGUAUGGGAGAGGAUGGUAGAAUUCCAGGUGUAGCGGUGAAAUGCGUAGAGAUCUUGAGGAAUACCGAUGGCGAAGGCAGCCAUCUGGCCUAAUACUGACGCUGAGGUACGAAAGCAUGGGGAGCAAACAGGAUUAGAUACCCCGGUAGUCCCUGUCUCUUAUAC
rnacentral:rRNA from 1 species